rnacentral:lncRNA from 1 species
AUUGACUUGGCCCGGGACCCCCAAACGAGCCCGUUCCCCUCAAAGUCCCGGGACCCCCAAAAUGGGGAGAGCCGGGACCCCCGAUAUGGGGGGAACCCAAAGCCCCAGGACCCCUGGGACCCCUGAAAUGGGGAGGGCUGGGACCCCCAGGAGCCCAGACAUGGGGGGGGGGAGGACCCCUGGGACCCCCGAAUUGGGGAGAGCAACGACCCCCGGGACCCCCAAUAUGGGGGAGAACCAGAGCCCCAAGACCCCCGGGACCCCCAAAAUGGGGAGAGCCAGGACCCCCGAUAUGGGGGGAACCCAAAGCCCCAGGACCCCCGGGACCCCCGAAAUGGGGAGGGCUGGGACCCCCAGGAGCCCAGACAUGGGGGGGACAAGGACCCCUGGGACCCCCGAAUUGAGCCCCCGCGCUGGCACCCGGGGAUGGGGCCCCGCCCUCCCACUUCCGCCCUCGCCCCGCCCCUCGAACGCCAUUGGUCCGGCGGUUCGGCCCCGCCCCUCCCCCCUGCGCCCCCGAUUGGAUCCUUGGAGCUGCGUCACUUCCGGUGCUCGCCAGGCCCCGCCUCCUCCUGAACCUUCGGCUCCCUCACGUGACCCCUUCGCCGACCAAUGAACGACGGGGCAAGACGGAAGUCCCGCCUCCUGCACUGGACCAAAGCGGAAGUUCCGCUCUCAUCUAUAUCAGGGAAAAAACCGGAAGUUCCGCCCUCAAGGGGAGCGGGCCGUGUGCACUGAAGCCUUAACCCCGCCCCUAAAGUGGGCGUGGCCACAAACGAGCCAAUAAAAACACACCGCUCCUCCA